rnacentral:rRNA from 1 species
AUGUUGUGCUGUGAACAAAUUUGUAUGGAGGUGUCAAUUUCCAGGUUGGAAAUGCAUUGUGCAGAAACCUGUCUUGUCGCUGCAAAAAUGCAGAAAGCGUGCCACAUGGAACGAGGGGUGAGUCUUUUCAGCAAUAAGGAUGUAGUCCUGACCUGGUGUCACUUACGUCGUGAAGAUGUCAUCGGUUGUGGGUUCAUGCUUGAUCCACCAGUUUUCCUUGGUUGCUGGCCAUCCGGGAUAGAAUUCAUGCCAAGGCACGAGAGUAAUGCAUUGUGCAGCUUCCAUGCCAAGGCUUCGUCGCGUUCCUUGUAUGGGUGA